UUCCAAGUGGAGACCUGGCCCGUUCUGCCC
rnacentral:piRNA from 1 species